GAUGACCACCUUUCUUCAUGAGUUUGUUGACUGCCUGAAUGUCUUCUUUGUGAAAGAGGCUGCCUUCAUUCCUUUGAUCAUGAUCUCUCCUUCCAUAGUCCAACCCAGCAGUAUAGCAUCUUCAAGUGUCUCUCUGAAUUUGACUCUACUUCAAUCAUUACAUCUUUACUCUGACUGACCCUCCUGCCUCUCUCUGAUAAUAAACUUAUUGAUUUUAUUGG